UACGUAGGGUGCAAGCGUUGUCCGGAAUUAUUGGGCGUAAAGAGCUCGUAGGCGGUUUGUCGCGUCGAAUGUGAAAACCCGGGGCUCAACCCCGGGCCUGCAUUCGAUACGGGCAGACUAGAGUUCGGUAGGGGAGUCUGGAAUUCCAGGUGUAGCGGUGAAAUGCGUAGAUAUCUGGAGGAACACCGGUGGCGAAGGCGGCAUCCUGGACCAAUUCGUGACGCUGAGGUAGCGAAAAGCCAGGGGAGCAAAGCGGGGAUUAAGCAAACC
rnacentral:rRNA from 1 species